rnacentral:rRNA from 1 species
UACGUAGGGUGCAAGCGUUGUCCGGAAUUAUUGGGCGUAAAGAGCGUGUAGGCGGCCCGGUUAGUCCGCUGUGAAAGUCCAGGGCUCAACCCUGGAAUGCCGGUGGAUACUGUCGGGCUAGAGUCCGGAAGGGGCGAGUGGAAUUCCUGGUGUAGCGGUGAAAUGCGCAGAUAUCAGGAGGAACACCGAUGGCGAAGGCAGGUCUCUGGGCCACUACUGACGCUGAGAAGCGAAAGCAUGGGGAGCGAACAGG